GAUCCAAGCCGCAUCCUAUUUCUCUCAUUCUAAGUUCAUCACAGAAGCCAAAGGAGAAAACCAAUGAGAAGAGUGUGAACACGUCACAUAUUUCUUAUUUUGAAUAAGGAAACAAUGUUUUCUCGUUUAAAAUUAGUGACAGGCUAUCACAAAGUUAAGCUUCACAGGAAAUGUGUGUAAGUUGUUGGGUUUUAAUGAUAUGAUUUUUGUUAGAAUGAUAAAAGAUAUAGAUAGAUGUAAAAUAGUUUCUCGUUUUGUUUCGACGAAACUGGAAGAAGAAAAUGCCAUAUCGUUGCUUUGUGCCCAAUUGAAAGGCUGGAAAUCCAGGAUUCAAACCUUGUAGAAAAAUAGUUUUAUUCGCUCCACCCAAAGAUGAAGCUCUCUUCAAACAAUGGGAGCGGUACAUUCCACGCAAGGAUGCAAAUCUUAAAGUUUUAUAAAGAGUAUGCUCAGGUCACUUCGAAGAAGAUGACAUUAUCAAAGGCCGGCUGCUUAAAGGGAAGGAUGGAAAAGAAUUGUUCUAUGCUUGGAACAAUUGGAGUCUUAAAGAAGGACCCAUCCUAAGAAUUUUUCCAGGCUAUCAUAUUUCUUUUUCAAGUUUGUUAAAAUUAGUAUCCUCCUUUUACAGUCCAAUUUUCUUUAUAUUACAUAGACUGUCCGAGUUAUCUAAACAAGCCAAAAUCAGCCAAAAGAAAGCUACCAAAAGGAAGGCAGAGUGCCAACAAGAGAAAUCGAACGGAUUGUAACCAGGUGGAUGAGCUUCGAGAAUAUACCGAUGAUUUUUUAGAAAACUGAGAAGGAGUACCUGUUGAUGAUGAUUGUCAUUCUUCCCUGCACGACCCAUGGGUGUCAUUUAAACCUCAAAACUGUCCCGUACCUCCAGCUUGGUUUUGGAUUCACUCAAAUGAUGGGCCUGAGGUCCCAAUUUGUG